rnacentral:rRNA from 1 species
GUGGAGCAUGUGGCUUAAUUUGACUCAACGCGGGGAAUCUUACUAGGUCAGGACCAUCGAUGCGCGAGUUCGCGUCGUAUGUAUGAUUGUCGCAGUGUCGCUGCUACAAAAUUAUUGGAUGAGUGGUGCAUGGCCGUUCUUAGUUCGUGAUGCAAUUUGUCUACUUAAUUGUUGGUUGCGUAUGAUUCACGUCAUCGUAACCGUAACGAACGAGACCGUGUUGUGUACGUAGCUACUCGCUGCGACAUUCGUACAUCGACAGAACAACCGCAAACUUGUUAGGAAGGACGCGGCAAUAACAGGUCUGUGAUGCCCUCAGAUGUUCUAGGCCGCACACGUGCUACAAUUGAUUCCCCAGUCAAUUAUGUAGUGCGCGUGUUGUGAGAUCCCCCGCGUAGAGUCUAAUUAAGUCACUAGUUGAGAUUACCGAUUGUAACUAUUCGGUACCGCAACUAGGAAUGCCUCGUACGGUGGGAUCAACGAGUUCCAUUGGAAUCCGUCCCUGCCCUUUGUACACACCGCCCGUCGCUCUUACCGAUGGCGGUGGUUUCGAAUGUUACCGAGCGACGUAGGUUUAAUAUACUCGCGGCGCAACGUAAUGUAAGAAACCACCGCUAAAGGAAAGAGAAGUCGUAACAAGGCAUCG